AUUGAACGCUGGCGGCAUGCCUUACACAUGCAAGUCGAACGGCAGCACGGGAGCAAUCCUGGUGGCGAGUGGCGAACGGGUGAGUAAUACAUCGGAACGUGCCCAAUCGUGGGGGAUAACGUAGCGAAAGCUACGCUAAUACCGCAUACGAUCUACGGAUGAAAGCGGGGGAUCGCAAGACCUCGCGCGAAUGGAGCGGCCGAUGGCAGAUUAGGUAGUUGGUGAGGUAAAGGCUCACCAAGCCUGCGAU
rnacentral:rRNA from 1 species